UACUCGAGUGGCGAACGGGUGAGUAACACGUGGGUGAUCUGCCCUGCACUUCGGGAUAAGCCUGGGAAACUGGGUCUAAUACCGGAUAGGACGAUGGUUUGGAUGCCAUUGUGGAAAGUUUUUCGGUGUGGGAUGAGUUCGCGGCCUAUCAGCUUGUUGGUGGGGUAAUGGCCUACCAAGGCGUCGACGGGUAGCCGGCCUGAGAGGGUGUACGGCCACAUUGGGACUGAGAUACGGCCCAG
rnacentral:rRNA from 1 species